GACGAACGCUGGCGGCGUGCUUAACACAUGCAAGUCGAACGGAAAGGCCCUGCUUUUGUGGGGUGCUCGAGUGGCGAACGGGUGAGUAACACGUGAGUAACCUGCCCUUGACUUUGGGAUAACUUCAGGAAACUGGGGCUAAUACCGGAUAGGAGCUCCUGCUGCAUGGUGGGGGUUGGAAAGUUUCGGCGGUUGGGGAUGGACUCGCGGCUUAUCAGCUUGUUGGUGGGGUAGUGGCUUACCAAGGCUUUGACGGGUAGCCGGCCUGAGAGGGUGACCGGCCACAUUGGGACUGAGAUACGGCCCAGACUCCUACGGGAGGAAGCAGUGGGGAAUAUGGCACAAUGGGCGGAAGCCUGAUGCAGCACCGCCGCGUGCGGGAUGACGGCCUUCGGGUUGUAAACCGCUUUCGCCUGUGACGAAGCGUGAGUGACGGUAAUGGGUAAAGAAGCACCGGCUAACUACGU
rnacentral:rRNA from 1 species